GCAAUACUUCCUCAUUUCUGUGACGACCUCUCAGCGUCAAAGACACAAAAGAGGAACAGUGAGGUGGCCUGAAUCCAUCCACUGUACAUGUGAGACGGGGAAAGAUAGAGGGGAGGGAAUCAUAUCAUGGAACGAGCGUGAGUGUGUCUGAUUGAUAGAGUGACAGAAAUAAUGAGCGAGAGAGAGAGAGAAAGAGAGAGAAGACAGAGAGGCUGGAAUGUGGUGGAACAGUGAAAGAUAAAAAGGCUGAGUGAGAGAGUGUAAUGAAGAAAAUUGGGGAUAAUUGAAUAGAAGAGCACUUGGGUGCAAAAAAAAAAGGAAAAAAAAGCAGAGAGCAACUGACAGAUGGAUGGUGAAGAGUCAGUGCACAUUGGAAGUACAAAGAGAGGAAGGAGAACGGAGGAGAGAGAUCAAUCGAGCAGCUGAAGAGGUCACUGCGGAUACAACGAGGAGCAACACAGCCUGAACUACAGACUAAAAGGCCACUGUAAGCUGUGCCAGACACCUGUCGAUGUUCCUUGGUCACCGAUAGAGCAUGUUUCAGAAGAUGAAGCCAGUCUCAUUGGAUAGCCAUGUUUUGUCUCCAUGACAGCUAUGUCACUCAGCCCUCUCUGCAGUGACACCUGCACAGCAAAGGAUGCUGGGAAAUAAUGAGCACUUUUA